UGUCCCAUGGUGUAAUGGUAACACAGCAGAUUUUGGUUCUGUCGUUUCAAGUUCGAGUCUUGAUGGGACAA
rnacentral:tRNA from 1 species